rnacentral:tRNA from 1 species
GGGGUUAUGGCUCAGUGGUAGAGCGUUCACCUUGCACGUGUGAGACCCUGGGUUCAAUUCUCAGUACCACA